UGUCCAUUGUCAGACUGGAACCUGUGACCUGUAAUUCUGCUAGUAACAACACACAGAGAAUGGCAUCUCUUUGGUUUAUCUUAAUGAUUUUGUUCAUUGUCAAGCCACGGCAGUCUGUGGAGGAGUCUGUGUUUCGAGAGGUCCAGCUUGGAGAUACUGCCAUUUUGCUCUGUAAUAUCUCUUACCAUUACGAGAUAACCUGGUUUAAGCACAAACCUGAGCAGACUCCUGCCGUUUUAAUGUGUGUGAGUCUAAAUGGUGGAAAUAUCAUCUAUGGGCACCGAUCCAAUCUUCAUUUCGAGGCAGAGAUUGCCAACAGGUCAUUGGCAUUGAAAAUCAAGACCGUUGAGGAUGCAGACCGUGGAUUGUAUUACUGCAUGGGAAAGGUUGGGAAAAGUAUGAUGCUUGGGGGAGGAAGCAGACUUCACGUGUCUGGCCUUGAAGCUAUAAAUGAAUCUUCUACCACUUAUGAACAAGCUUCGCCUGCAUUGUGUAGUUGUACCUCCGGGCUCUCCUUCACUCAUCUGCAUGCAGCUGUAGUUGGACUGGGUCUGUUGGGGAUGAUACUGGCAGUUUGCAUCACUCAUCACAAGACCAAGAAAAGAAACAUGGCAACCUAAACGGUCUGGUCAGAAUAAGCUGCUCUGUAUGCUUUUCUUGCUCAGUGUGUUUCAGUGUCUGAUUACAGUAUAAUGUAUAAGACACCUGAAUGCUAUAGUCCUACAGCAUGUAUUUUGAUUAUUUAUCUUAAGACAAAUUAUAUUGUGGUCAACAGCUCUGGAAUUUGGGUCAAGUUUAUCAGGAAGGAAGGAAUUAUUUUGUCUCAGUGUGUAAGAUUUCCUGCUGCAUAUUUUGUCAUUCGUAUUUGUAUUGCACUUGGGCCUUUUGAAAUUAAAAUAAAUAAAAGACUGCAUGAGG